rfam:Myotis davidii contig152857, whole genome shotgun sequence.
GCCGGUGUGGCUCAGUGGACAGAGCAACAGCCUGGGGUCCCGGGUUCGAUUCCCGUCAAGGGCA